UAUAAAUAAUAUAUAAAAUAUAAGUAUAUUCACACUUGCAACAUAUGUUAGAUAUACAUGUAACAAUAUUUCUAUCGAAUACUCAUGAUCAUCAACUAUGUAGAUCUGUAGGGCUCAGAGAACCUAACAUUAUAUUUAAACAAUCUUUCUGUACGGACAUUUCUUGCAAAUGAUUAGCGAAUGGAAUUGAAUUCAUAAGAAACAGUAUUUUACAUAUUUUCGUUGAUAACAGGGUAUCUACAUAGUUCCCCAGCACUUAGUUCUGGUAUCCUUUUGUUGUUAGCUUUAUUCUGCAGCUAUUGCGUUCGGCCAACUAAAGCUUGCGUUGCAAAGUGGAAACUGCAUCAGCCGCAUGCGCCGAACCAAAUACAAGGAACAUAUAGUAAUCUGUGCUAUCGCGCCAUCGCCCAUGCUGCCAGUGGCCGUUGGGCGUGGCAUAUACUAAGCGAGAGUAAAAGCAAUUCGACCACAACAAGCUACAUCGGAUGACAACGGCCACACCCGCACUACCAGCCAUUAAGGCGCCCAAAAGGGUUCAACAAAGCUACCCUAUGGACUCGAAAGACUCGAUCCGGCGGUCUGCUACUGACUGCAAUAUUAGCUGGUGGGAAAUGCAGCAAAUGGAGUUUCGACAAAGUUGCUGUCGCGGCUGCCAGACACUUGGAAUUGAAUUUGUAUCAUCCAAACGCAAAGGCUGCUCUUUGUGUUUAUUUGAUCUGUUGUCAUGGUUUUGGGACUGUCAAAGCUGUCCAUCCACUUUGGCUCUAAGUCUGAGUAGAUAUUUGGUAAAAAUCCUUUUAAUUUAUUAUUUAUUUUGCAAAGGACUAGGACAAUGAGUUUGUUGUAGAUCAAAGCAGCUACUGCUUUAUAAGCUUACCCCGAAAGCUGAUUGCCCGCUUCGAAUUAAGAAAUAAUCCGGAUACCGAACAUGAGCCUCAAUAAACCAAUUGCAUAGAUAUUGCCAAUAUUCAAUAAAAAAUUAAGCUCAAUAAUAAGUCAUAUGUAUUUGAAGA